rnacentral:tRNA from 1 species
UCCCUGGUGGCUCAGUGGUAAAGAAUCUGCCUGCAAUGCAGGAGAUUUGAGUUCAAUCCUGAGUCAGGAAG